rnacentral:lncRNA from 1 species
UCCAAUAAUAAUCCACUUAAAACAAAAUGCAGUAGCAUGCAAUCGCACGUAAUCCAAGUUAAACACAUGUUACAAACCUGCCACAGAGAUUAGGAGUUUGGCAGAGGGAUUGGUGUAUCUUAAUCCAAGAUGCAAGCAAACUUUACAUUCGUAUUCAUAGUCCCCACGAGAACACAAGACAGGGGCUCUUCACUGUGUGAGCAACUUGGAGUCGCAAGCCACAAUCUUCACUCUCUUGACUUGGUCGUGGCAGUCCUCACUUUUGAAAACUGCAUCUUGCAAGAUGAAUGUCCACACGUUGUCACAGAACCUAUAGGUAUGCAGAUGACCCUGUAGAACAGUCUUGAGAAAAUAAGGUUUCUUGAUUACCAGGUUUAAUCAGAAAAAACGGCAAAAAUUAAACAUGAGGGCAUGAUAAUGGUUUGAUUUUAUUCUAUUAACAUCCGUAAUAUUGGUCUAGCAGUGGGAGCUUAUAUAUUGAGCAGAGAAUAGGGAAGCCAACCAUGGGCAUACUUGGCAUCUAUCAUGGGAUUUGGAUAGCAGAAAGUGCAGUAUGGGCAUGAGAUAACACACAGCCGAUUAUAAUAUCAAUAAACUACAGAAUAUUACUUAAGGGUCAAAAUAACCACCUAAUGAUCGGAUAGCUCUAAAUGAAAUAAAUCUUCACAUGAUUAAAGGAACUGAUGGACCUGAAAGAUUGAUAAGGGAAAAAAAAGGAAACUUCAGGCUUAAGAGGCAAGCAGUUGUCCAUACAAAGCAAAACUGCAGGAUAGGAACUCCCCUUUCAAUAGCUCCAUAUGCAUAAUUUAGUUAAUCCAGAUAAGAUCAGAAAUAAAAUAUUUCUUUUACCACUUAACUACAAUAAUUUAGUGCAGAAUUGGAGUAUUGCAUAUUGCAUGAGUGCAGGUGCACAGUGACCUACAGUAUCUGCAGACAAGAUGAGAAUAGUUGGUACUCAUGACACACAACAGUAUGUUCAGUCAGUCAAACUUUCCAUUCUGGUAGACUUGAAUAAGCAAGAUCAACUCAUCUUCAGAAAAAAUAAUGCACAUUUCAGAAAUUUAGAAGGAAAGAAAAGUUCUUAACUAGUAGAAAACAGAAAGUCCUGAAAACAAGGUUUAGCAGCAAAUCAGUUGAUUCAUUAUAUGUGCUGAAUACAUGCAUAUACCACAUAGACAAUUAUUGAACCAUAUAUAUAAAUUACCCAGAGAUAAGCUCAAAAUAAGAGAGAAUGUAAUCAAGUAGAAAGAUUGUUUCUUAGUCUCAAACAACCUCGGAAUAAAAGAUACAAGAGAGUACAGGGUAAAAGGACUUGACGGGUUAAUUUAACAAUUACCAUUGAUCUAGAAUUUUUCAUGGGAUUUUAGAGUGUCAACUUAAAAUACAAAAGUAAUGUCAUGAAGUGAUCAAGGGGAACAAAUGUCUGACUCCUAAAACAUUUCAACAAACUAAACACAUCAAACACGUAGAGAGAGUAUGAUAUCAUAAACACACCAAUCCUUUGGGUUAAUGCUUCUUUAAAAGGUUCAUGCUCAAGUUUCAGAUGCUAAGAUAAUCAAAGAAGCAAUCAGUGGCAAUGGUUUCAGGUGCUCACACAGACUAAAACCCUAUUUGACCCCAAAAAGCUAUGCUUCAUCUGCUAUUUAAGGCCCAAGAUUUGACUGAAGUCGAAGCACAGAAAGUAACGUACAUAUCAGCCUGAGCCUCGUCUACUAUUUCUCAUUAAUCACACAAGUUCAAGUCUAAGUGAUGCCUGAACAGAGAGAAUGAAAGCUAUGUGAUUUCAUCAAUAUGUCCAAGAAGGUUCAGAUUUCUUUUGGAAGAGUCCAGAGUCAGACCCAGUCCAGGAUAUUGGACUUUUUAUGGGAAUGGCAUGACUGGGCGUGCAACAUGCCAAGUUCAAUUUUGGUCGAAGUUGAAUAAAAAAAGAAAAAGAUUCAUGACUUGCUCUUGUAUUCUUAUGACAAUUCUUUUAGUAAUAUUUUCUAAUCCACAAAUAUAUAACUAAUAUAAAAAAUUACAGAAGAAUACCUUUAGUAAUGAAAUUUGUGUAAAUAUUCAUUCAGUGAUUUAAAUGACACAACAUGCAAUUAAAAUAUUUAAAUGACUAGAAUGAUCCAGAGGCAUAUGUGCUCACAAGCAUGGAGAACAACCAAUUCUGGAUGAUGAUGAUUAGCAUGGUCCAGAGGCAUAUAUGAUCACAAGCACGGAUUGCCUUACUGAGGGAAUAACCAAUUCUGGAUGAUGACUAGCACAAUCCAGAGGCAAUAAAUUAGCAAUGAAGAUAUAUGAUCACAUGCACAUAUUGCCUUACUCAGAGAGAACCAAUUUGCACAGCAUGUAUUGGCAAAAAGAAAAGAGAUACUUGAUGCUUAGUGAGGCUGGAAGAAAGAAAAUCCCUAGAGCUACUUGAUGCUUCUUUCAAUGAGAAUGAGAGGCGUAAAGUUUGCUAGGGUAGCAGUACACUUCCCCAAGUUGAUUGUUGAAAAGGUUCGUAGUAUUCUUAAAAAAGAUGCUUCUAGUUUGCUUCAACAUUCACAACUAUAUUUAAUGCAAUUUUGCUGUUCAAUCGGAAGAAAGGACAAACUUCAAGUCAAUUAGUAUCUUUCAUCCAUCAAAAUUUAUCUGUUGGAAAUUUUAGGUUGAGUAAUAGAAUGUGAAUCAUGCAUAAUUUGUUUCAAUAAAAAAUUGUUAAAAACAGAUGAAGGUUCAGCAGCAAAAGCAUUUGGAAUGAGAAAUGAUAUUUCCUCGAUAUAAUAUUAAACUGGUCUUCGUAAGACCCUUGGCCACAAAUUAAGUUCCUUUGGUCCCUAUUCGUCGCAAUUAACUGAAUCAAGGCAUUGGCCUAAUGGUUGACAUCCAAUUUAUUUUGAAAGAUUUUGGGUUCAAAUACUUGUAAUGGUGAUGUCGAAGAAUUUGAGCUAUAUAAUUUUAUAGCUUGAGAUCCAUCUACCACUCUCCAGUAUUAAAAUGAAACACAGAAACUCAUGAGUCAAGACCUCAGACAGAUGUCACACUUAAUAUUUAGUGAGAUAAUAACACAUUGGUCGUAUGACAUGUUGACACUAAAAGAUUAAAGACAAAACUAUUGUUAGAAGAAUCAACUGUUGUCAAUGUUAAAUUAAAAUAUGAAAAAAAAAUUAAUUUUAAAGAAGCAACAAAAGUAAAAGAGGCAAUCAGAGGCACAAGUGAACUGGAUAUACAUGACAAAGAAUAUGCCUAAUAGCAAAAGUUUACCUUAAUCGAAACCUUGCUCUUGACUUGCGUCUCCAAGGCAUCUGUCAUAGACUGUGAGGAGAACAAAUUCAAAGGAAAAAGAACUUAAAAGCAUGACUGCUAAAAUCUCCAAAAGAAAAUUUUCCAGGGUUUAACUUAAAUUUACCUUAUCAAACUGCAUAAGGACUUGGAUAGCUAGCUCCGGGCUCAACGUACCGCUGGAAACCAUCUCAUCUAGGGUUUCUGUCAAGCACAUGCCAAUGGAGGACCUUCGGUACAAUUCAAAUGUGGCCAUGGCCUAUUCUAGCACUCCAAUUAGCAAAAGUUAUUUAGUAACAAAAGCUCAGGAUUUCAAAACAAAGAAAAGCAAAAAGGCAACAAUAAACAACUAGAAACAAAGAAUGGGCUGGUAUAUUUUAUUUUUUCUAUUAAGUGGAGGUAGCAACUCUUUAACAUAUUAGAAAUUGAACCGUAGCAGAAGAUUAACAUCAUAAAUAACAAUAAUAAAAACCACUAGAAAGACUUGACACCAAAAGGAUGCUUUAUAUAAUAAAUGAGGGCUUCGGAAUAACGACCAGCUCAAGAAGAAAAGUGAAAAGUGUAAGAAAGAAAGGGGGAAGUAGAUAUCACACUUCCCUAUGCCAUGAAAGAGGCAUUGACAUAACAGCAAGCAAAUGUUUAAAACAGCAACCCAAUUAGUAGACAAUGUCAAUUAGGAAAAGUUUUUCUAAAUACAUCUUUGAUAUAGUUGAAGCAUAUUCCCAGAGCAAAGCCCGUCAGAGCAUAAUUACUUGCCGAAUCAAGUAAGAAAGAUAUGCUCUUUCAUCCAAAGAAUAAACAGAAGAACGAAUCCCCUUUUACAUGGUAAAGUAGGAUGGAGAUAAAGACAUGCAUGAAACAAGCAACAGAUCUUUGGUCUUCUAGACAAUAAAAACAAAAAAAAUAUUUGUGUUUUAUCUUCUGUUUUACAGAACAUGUUUGGCAGUCACAUCUUCAUAACAUGGACAGGCACAACCUAGAGCUUCUAUCUUUAAUCUCCUUGUGCAUACAUGAAUUAUGUUUCAACAAUCGUUAUGUGCACAUUAGGCAUUUGUAAAUCAAGAAGCCAAGCAAAUCCAGUUAUAAAAAUUUAAGUGACUAAUAAAGAUCUAUGAUGGACAUUUUACAAUGCAGACACCUGCAAUUUUGAGUUUAGAAUGGCAAAUAAAUUAGAGAACAUCGUAUCAAUAAUGUCAUAAAACCAUACCAGUUCUAAAAAUGUAACCACACUUAAGUUUAAACAUCACAGAGCAUAUACAACCAUGGGGUUUACUGAAUAUGAGUAGGUGAAAAUACUUGUUUGAAUUGGCACUUACUCCAUCAUGAUUACAAGCAUCAUGAUCAAAAUUAUGUAAAGAAAGCUAGAUAAUAUAAAAUCUUCAUCCUUCAAUAUACCAUGUGCUUCGUCCUCUAAAAACCACUCAUAAGCCUCCAGUCAUCACAUGUCAAAAAAGAAACUAAAUAAUGGCAAACCAAUCAGAGACUUGAAUACAAUAAGGAUCGCGUUUUCUGCGAAUGAAGUAUCACAUGCCACGAUCUCUCAGCAAAGACUAACUCUAUCGAGUCUAAAAAGAAACCGUAAUUAACAUUCAAGUACUCGAACAACACAAAGAACCACAAAUCAAACGCUACAACCGAGACAACAUCCCAAACCCAUCAAAUCAAAGCAAAGUUGGCUUUUUUCGGUUCAUCCAAAUCGAACCAACGCCAAACCAAAAUCCACGAACAAAGGAAACAAAAUAAGAACUAAAACAAGGGGCUUCGGUUCCCGCGGGUAAGACGGAGGAAAAGGGAGAAGAAACGGAAGGAAAUGACCUCGGAUCGCGAUAUCUCGAGCUAAAACUCGAAUGCCGAAACCCUAAUCGCCUCAGGACGAGGACGAGGCCGGAUUCCCAGGGGCUUGGGGCGAUGGUCAAAGAGAGCUCGGCACGAGGGCGAGCUCGAAGAAGGAGAGGAAGAGAGGAACGCAGCGAGAGAUCGGCGUCCAACGGGGGAUUUCAAAUGGAGGAUUAUAUAAGCGAUGGCAUCGGAGAGGAAGAUAUAUACAUAGAGAGAAAAGGGACGGCUGGAGGGACUCUUUAAUUUCAUUGUUCGCACACUAAAUCUGUGCGGUGGGAAGAUCCACCGUCCGUUUGAUCAAUCUAAUGGAUCCUGGCCGUCCGAGCUCAGUGAUGCGAUCAUGCGUGGCUCUUGGACGCAUGACUGCGACCCCGAGUCGGCCCGGGUCGACUCUGUAGCAGUGCUGCAAACUCGGACGAGUAGGUCGAUUCGAAUCGGGCGUCAGGUUAUUGUGGACAACAAAAGCUAUAAAUACAAACCACAAGUCAAACUGGGUUUAAACAUUUGCAACGAGUUCUCUAUAACGGCUUUGGUGGCCGCAUGGUUUCCAUAAGAAUCGUUGUCUUGGUGUAUGCAAAAUGCUUGGAAUGAAUAUACCUUUGUCAUCGGCCCGUCCAACUCCGAUGACCACUGCGCAUGCCCACCGUUGUGGUGGCGCAGGCGGUGAUGACGAUGUCAACGAUCCGUCCCGCCGCAAGCAGAGCACACAGUCGACACCGACCCCGUAUUCCCGGCGGAGGAGGAAGUCGAAAAAGAUGGCGUUGGUAUUCCACCUACGCAAGCGCCAAGGAACAACAGACAAGCGCCAAGGAAGUACGAAGGGGCGGCUCCAGGAGGAAAGCACAACAGACAAGGAGAAGCAGUGGGAAGACGAAUUGGACCGGGGAACAGGCGAACAAGGAGGAGGAGGAGGGAGAAGAAGGUGCCGCGGAGGCACCAACGGCGUCAGGAGGAGCGGUCGAGGGGACUCGGGAAGCAUAAUACUAGCAAUAGUAUCAUAUAAUCCUAAUAAUUGAUUUGAUGAAAAUGAAAUGAGUUAUAAUACUUGAUAAUCGAUUAAAUAUAAAAAAAUAUAUUUUAUUUUAAAAUUAUAAAAAUUAUAUAUAAAGAUUUAUACAAAUAUUUUAAAACUAUAUACUUUGUGGAUUGAUUUAACGAAAAAUAUCUUGAUUACACUCGAGCGAGGUAUAUUCAUUCACCGUCCGAAUGGAUCCGAAAUGAAUCGACUCAUGAAUUUGUGACUUGAAAUAGUCUGAUUAUAAUAAAAAAAAAUUAAAAUUAAAAAAAAAUAUAUAUAUCUCUUGAUAAAAUCAAAUAUAAGGGUGCUACAAAGAUAAAACUCAUUACUAAGAAUUUUUAUUUUUCUUUGGUAAAUUGCCCCAUUACUGUUACAGACCAAUAUCAUCGAUCAUCGUUAGGAAAGUGGGAGGUCUAUCAAUGGAUUUCCUAACAGACAUCGACCCGCAAAUAAUCUCGCUCUGGGAAUUGCCAAUACCUAAAUGCAGUGAACUUAAUUGUUGAUGACAGACUGGUUUUGCUUGUGCUAUCAUGUGGAUUGCGAUGACGGAUGGGAUAGCUUCAUACUGAAACUACUUGUUGAGUUGGAAGUAUGUGUUACAGAGAUGAACCAAAUGUUCCUCUCAGGUGACCACAUUGACCUAAAUUUCUUGUGAUAAUUAAAUCACGACAUUUUUGUAUGAAAUUAUUCAGGUUUCAUCGGAAACCUACCUUUUCUUAGAUUUUAUAUCAAGAUAUGGAACUGAGGUUAGAGUCAUCAAGUUGGAACUCAUGACAAAAUGUCGAACCCACAAAACAUCCAUGCAAGAGUAUGAUUCAGGUUUAGAGUUUAAAACACAGAUUUUACACACAAAAAAAAAGAGCUAUCUCAAACUAUGUAAUGAAACUACCAUAUACUGCCACAAGUAAUGUUACAAGAUGACAAGUGGAUUACUACGAUCAUCACAAGUAACUACUAGAAUAUUGUGCGCCAUUGUAUUUUGAGUCCUUUUUGUACUGUGUCUCAAAAGCCAUAUCAAAACACACAUUUUGGAAUUUCCAAAAGCCAUUAGCAACUCCUGUUCAUGCACAUAAUAAGCUCCCUAGAUAACUAAGCAAAAAGACUCCAAAAAUGUCCCUGAUGCUCCAAUAAUAAUCCACCAAAAUGCAGUAGCAUGCAAUCGCACGUAAUUCAAGUUAAAUACAUGUUACAAACCUGCCACAGAGAUUAGGAGUUUGGCAGAGGGAUUGGUGUAUCUUAAUCCAAGAUGCAAGCAAACUUUACAUUCGUACUCAUAGUCCCCACGAGAACACAAGACAGGGGCUCUUCACUGUGUGAGCAACUUGGAGUCACAAGCCACAAUCUUCACUCUCUUGACUUGGUCGUGGCAGUCCUCGCUUUUGAAAACUGCAUCUUGCAAGAUGAAUGUCCACACAUUGUCACAGAACCUAUAAGUGUGCAGAUGACCCUGUAGAACAGUCUUGAGAAAAUAAGGUUUCUUGAUUACCAGGUUUAAUCAGAAAAAAAAAAAAAGGAAAAACUUAAACAUGAGGGCAUGAUAAUGGUUUGACUUUAUUCUAUAACUUGCAUAAUAUUGGUCUAACAGUGGGAGCUUAAAUCUUGACCAGAGAAUAGAGAGGCCAACUAUGGGCAUACUUGGCAUCUAUCAUGGGAUUUGGAUAAGUAGAAAGCACAGAAUAGGCAUGAGAUAACACAUAGCCGACUAUAAUGUCAAUAAACUACAGAAUAUUACUUAACGGUCAAAAUAACCACCUAUGAUCGGAUAGCUCUAAAUGAAAUAAAUCUUCACAUGAUAAAAGGGACUGAUGGACCUGAAAGAUUGAUAAGGGAAAAAAGGAAACUUCAGGUUUAAGAGGUAAGCAGUAGUACAUAUACAGCAAAAUCUGCAGGAUGGGAACUCCCAUUUCAAUAGCUCCAUAUGCAUAAUUUAGUAAAGCCAGAUAAGAUCAGAACUAAAAUAUGUCUUUUACCACUUAACUAGGAUGAUUUAGUCCAGAAUUGGAGUAUUGCAUAUUGCAUGAGUGCAGGUGCACAGUGAACUACAGUAUAUGCAGACAUGAUGAAAAUAGUUGGUACUCAUGACACACAACAGGCUGUUAAGUCAGUCAAAGUUUCCAGUCUGGUGGACUUGAAUAAGCGAGAUCAACUCAUCUUCAGAAAAAACCAUGCACAUUUCAGAAAUUUAGAAGGAAAGAAAAGUUCUUAACUAGUAGAAAACAGAAUGUCCUGGAAACAAGGUUUAGCAGGAAAUCUGUUGAUUCAUUAUAUGCGCUAAAUGCAUGCAUAUACCACAUAGACAACUAGUGAACCAUAUAUAUAAAUUACCCACAGAUAAGCAUAAAACAAGAGACAGAAUGUCCUCAAGUACAACAACUUUGGUCCAAUAACAAUGAUAUAUAUGUAUACACAUACACACACACAUCAUUGUCACCAAACAAACAAAAAGUCACUUACCUAAUGAUAUUUCAUUUCCAAAUUGUUAAUAAAAUGAAGAAAGAUUGUUUCUCAGCCUCAGACAACCUAGGGAUAAAAGAUACAAGAGAGUACAGGGUACAAGGACUUGACGGGUCAAUUUAUCAAUUACCUUUGAUCUAGAAUUUAUCAUGGGAUUUUAUAGUGUCAGCUUAAAAUACAAAAGUAACGUCAUAAAGUGAUCCGGAUGAACAAAUGUAUGACUCCUAAAACAUGUCAACAAACUACACACACCAAACACGUACAGAGAGUAUCAUAUCAUAAAUACACCAAUCCUUUGAUUUAAUGCUACUUUAAAAGGUUCACACUCAAGUUUCAGAUGCUAAGAUAAUCAAAGAAGCAAUCAGCGGCAAUGGUUUCAGGUGCUCACACAGACUAAAACCCUAUUUGACCCCAAAAAGCUAUGCUUCAUCUGCUAUUUAAGGCCCAAGAUUUGACUGAAGUCGAAGCACAGAAAGUAACGUACAUAUCAGCCUGAGCCUCGUCUACUAUUUCUCAUUAAUCACACAAGUUCAAGUCCAAGCGAUGCCUGAACAGAGAGAAUGAAAGCUAUGUGAUUUGAUGAAUAUGUCCAAGAAGGUUCAGAUUUCUUUUGGAAGAGUCCAGAGUCAGACCCAGUCCAGGAUAUUGGACUUUUUAUGGGAAUGGCAUGACUGGGCGUGCAACAUGCCAAGUUCAAUUUUGGUAGAAGUUGAAUGAAAAAAGAAAAAGAUUCAUGACUUGCUCUUGUAUUCUUAUGACAAUUCUUUUAGUAAUAUUUUCUAAUCCACAAAUAUAUAACUAAUAUAACAAAUUACAGAAGAAUACCUUUAGUAAUGAAAUUUGUGUAAAUAUUCAUUCAGUGAUUUAAAUGACACAACUAGCAAAAUGACUAGAAUGAGAUCACAACCGCUGAUCGCCUUACUGGGGGAACAAUCAAUCUUGCAAAUGACUAGAAUGAUCCAGAGGCAUAUGUGCUCACAAGCAUGGAGAACAACCAAUUCUGGAUGAUGAUGACUAGCAUGGUCCAGAGGCAUAUAUGAUCACAAGCACGGAUUGCCUUACUGAGGGAAUAACCAAUUCUGGAUGAUGACUAGCAUAAUCCAGAGGCAAUAAAUUAGCAAUGAAGAUAUGUGAUCACAUGCACAUAUUGCCUUACUCGGAGAGAACCAAUUUGCACAGCAUCUAUUGGCAAAAAGAAAAGAGAUACUUGAUGUUUAGAGAGGCUGGAAGAAAGAAAAUCCCUAGAAAUACUUGAUGCUUCUUUCAAUGAGAAUGAGAGGCGUAAAGUUUGCUAGGGUAGCAGUACACUUCCCUAAGUUGAUUGUUGAAAAGAUUCUUAGUAUUCUUAAAAAAGAUGCUUCUAGUUUGCUUCAACAUUUACAACUAUAUUUAAUGCAAUUUUUCUGUUCAAUCGGAAGAAAGGACAAGCUUCAAGUCAAUUAGUAUCUUUUAUUCAUCAAAAUUUAUCUGUUGGAAAUUUUAGGUUGAGUAAUAGAAUGUGAAUCUUGCAUAAUUUGUUUCAAUAAAAAAUUGUUAACAACAGAUGAAGCUUCAGCAGCAAAUGCAUUUGGAAUGAGAAACGAAUUUCCUUGAUAUAAUAUUAAACUGGUCUUCGAAAGACCCUUGGCCACAUAUUAAGUUCCUUUGGUCCCUAUUCGUCACAAUUAACUGAAUCAAGGCAUUGGCCUAAUGGUUGACAUUCAAUUUAUUUUGAAAGAUUUUGGGUUCAAAUACUUGUAAUGGUGAUGUCGAAGAAUUUGAGCCAUAUAAUUUUACAGCUUGAGAUCCAUCUACCACUCUCCAGUAUUAAAAUGAAACACAGAAACUCAUGAGUCAAGGCCUCAGACAGACGUCACACUUAAUAUUUAGUGAGAUAAUAAAACAUUGGUCGUAUGACAUGUUGAUACUAAAAGGUUAAAGACAAAACUAUUGUUAGAAGAAUCAAUAGUUGUCAAUGUUAAAUUAAAAUAUUAAAUAAAAAUGAAUUUUAAAGAAGCAACAAAAGUAAAAGAGGCAAUCAGAGGCACAAGUGAACUGGAUAUACAUGACAAAGAAUAUGCCUAAUAGCAAAAGUUUACCUUAAUCGAAACCUUGCUCUUGACUUGCGUCUCCAAGGCAUCUGUCAUAGACUGUGAGGAGAACAAAUUCAAAGGAAAAAGAACUUAAAAGCAUGACUGCUAAAAUCUCCAAAAGAAAUUUGUCCAGGGUUUAAAUUAAAUUUACCUUAUCAAACUGCAUAAGGACUUGGAUAGCUAGCUCCGGGCUCAACGUACCGCCGGAAACCAUCUCAUCUAGGGUUUCUGUCAAGCACAUGCCAAUGGAGGACCUUCGGUACAAUUCAAAUGUGGCCAUGGCCUAUUCUAGCACUCCAAUUAGCAAAAUUUAUUUAGUAACAAAAGCUCAGGAUUUCAAAACAAAGAAAAGCAAAAAGGCAACAAUAACAACUAGAAACAAAGAAUAGGUUGGUAUAUUUUAUUUUUUCUAGCCAAUUCUAGCACUCCGAUUAGCAAAGGUUAUUUAGCAACAAAAGCUCAGGAAUUCAAAACAAAGAAAAGCAAAAAGGCAACAAUAAACAACUAGAAAUAAAGAAUAGGUUGUUAUAUUUUAUUUUUUCUAUUAAGUGGAGGCAGCAACUCUUUAACAUAUUAGAAAUUGACCUGUAGCAGAAUAUUAACAUCAUAAAUAACCAUAAUAAAAACCACUGAGACUUGACAAAAAAAGGAUGCUUUAUAUAAUAAAUGAGGGCUUCGGAAUAACUACCAGCUCAAGAAGGAAAAGUGAUAAAAGUGUAAGAAAGAGAUGGGGAAGUAGAUAUUGCACUUCCCUAUGCCAUGAAAGAGGCAUUGACAUAAUGUCAAGCAAAUGUUUAAAACAGCAACCCAAUUAGUAGACAAUGUCAAUUAGGAAAAGUUCUUCUAAAUAUAUAUUUGAUAUAGUUGAAGAAUAUUCCCAGAGCAAAGCCCGUCAUAGCAUAAUUACUUGCCGAAUCAUGUAAGAAAGAUAUGCUCUUUCAUCCAAAGAAUAAACAGAAGAACAAAACCCCUUUUACAUGGUAAAGUGGGAUGGAGAUAAAAACAUGCAUGAAACAAGUAAUAAAACCUUGGUCUUCUUGACACUAAAAACAAAAAAAAUAUGUGUUUUAUCUUCUGUUUUACAGAACAUGUUUGGCAGUCACAUCUUCAUAACAAGGACAAGCACAACCUAGAGCUUCAAUCUUUAAUCUCCUUGUGCAUACACGAAUUAUGUUUCAACAAUCGUUAAGUACACAUUAGGAAUUUGUAAAUCAAGAGGACAAGCAAAUCCAGUUAUAAAAAUUGAAGUGAUUAAUAAAGAUCUAUGAUGGACAUUUUACAAUGCAGACACCUGCAAUUUUGAGCUUCUAAUGACAAUUAGAUAACAGAUCAUCGUAUACAUAAUGUCAUAAAACCAUACCAGUUCUAAAAAUGUAACCACACCUAAGUUUAGACAUCACAGAGCAUAUACAACCAUAGGGUUUACUGAAUAUGAAUAGGUGAAAAUACUUAGUUUGAAGUGGCACUUACUCCAUCAUGAUUACAAGCAUCACGAUCAAAAAUAUGUAAAGAAAGCUAGAUAAUAUAAAAUCUUCAUCCUUCAAUAUACCAUGUGCUUCGUCCUCUAAAAACCACUCACAAGCCUCCAGUCAUCACAUGUCAAAAUAGUAACCAAAUAAUGGCAAACCAAUCAGAGACUUGAAUAUAAUAAGGAUCGCGUUUUUUGCGAAUGAAGUAUCACAUGCCAUGAUCUCGCAGCAAAGACUAACUCUAUCGAGUCUAAAAAGAAACCGUAAUUAACAUUCAAGUAGUCGAACAACACAAAGAACCACAAAUCAAACGCUACAACCGAGACAUCUUCCCAAACCCAUCAAAUCAAAGCAUAGUUGGCUUUUUUUGGGUCAUCCAGAUCGAACUAACGCCAAACCAAAAUCCACGACCAAAAAAAACAAAAUAAGAACUUAAACAAGGGGCUUCGGUUCCCGCGGGUAAGACGGACGAAAAGGGAGAAGAAAAGGAAGGAAACGACCUCGGAUCGCGAGAUCUCGGGCUAAAACUCGAAUGUCGAAACCCUAAUCGCCUCUGGACGAGGACGGUGGCGGAUUCCCAAGGGCCUGGGGCGAUGGUCAAAUAGAGCUCGGCAAGAGGGCGAGCUCGAAGGAGAGGAAGAUAGAAACGCAGUACGAGAGAUCGGUGUCCAAUGGGGGAUUUCAAAUCGAGGGUUAUAUAGGCGAUGGCAUCGUUGAGGAAGAGCUAUAAAUAGAGAAAGAGAGAGAGAAACGAUGCGUGGAGGGAAUCUUUUCUUUCGUUGUUCGCACACGAAUUUUGUGCGGUGGGCUGAUCCACCGUUCAUUUUAUCAAUCUAAUGGAUCAUGGCCGUCCGAGCUCCGCGCUGCGAUCAUGCGUGGCUCUUGGUCGCAUGACUGCGACUCCGAGUCGGCCCAGGUCGACUCUGCAGCAGUGCGGCAAACUCGGACGAGUAGGUCGACUCGACUCGGGCAAACUCUGUGUUAGUCCAUUGUGGACAACAAAGCUUACCACAAGUCAAACUGGGUUUAGACAUCUGCAACGAGUUCUCUAUAACGGCUUUGGUGGCCGCAUGGUUUCCAUAGGAAUCGUCGUCUUAUUGUAUGCAAAAUGCUUUGAAUGAAUAUAACUUUGUCAUCGGUCCGUCCAACUCCGAUCACCACUGCGCAUGCCCACCGUUCUGGUGGCGCUGCGCGGUGAUGACGAUGGCAACGACCCGUCCCGCCUCAAGCAGACCCACACCGUCGACGCCAUCCUUCGUCGGGACGCCGUCCCCCCCCGCGCUCCGCACCAUUGCCACGUCUCCGGCACGGCCAUAUGACAUCCCACCCGCCGCGGAAGUGGCGCGGGGCUGUCCCGCCGUCCGUGCGCUCCGGGUUCGAGCAAGAGGCCGCGGACUCCUUGCUCCUGCUAUCGGGCUUGGGGAUAGCGCAGCAGAGGAUAGUACAUCUGCGACGGGUGCAAACAAGAGUUCGACACCCGGCAAGCACUCGGCGGCCACCGUGCAAACCACAGGAACCGGAAAGGCUGCUACGCGAGAGCCAAGGAAGUACGAAGGAACAGCUCCAAGAGGAAAGCACAACAGCGGGGAGGCACCAACGGCGUCAGGAGGAGCGAUCGAGGGGAUUUCGAGAAGAAGUAAAAGGAGGCGGCGGGAGCGUCCGGUGGAUUUGAAUUUGCCCCCACUGUCAUCGUCCGACACCGACAGCGCGAGCUCGUCUUCUGCUGGCAACAGUACUCCUUAGUCACCGUAAUGGUUGCCGGUAAUGAGCCUAACUUCUAUUCCUUUGGGUUCCGAUCCACAGGAUAUCUCCUCGUAAUAUCUCUUGAUUGCACAAACUACACAUUAACCAUUGGGAUAUCUCCUCAUAAGAUCUCUUGAUUGCACAAACUACACAUUAAACAUUGGGAUAUCUCCUCAGAAUUGGUUUAGCUUUGGUAUUCCAAUCCACAAUAUAAGCAUUCAACUAUACUUUUCAUUUCAUCGUGAACUUAUCAUAACACAUGUAUGAUCAAUUUAUUUCUAUACAAAAGCAUAAAAUUAAUUUAUUGCUAUGCGAUAACACAUGUUAUCGUAUAUAUUCUUAACAGAGAUUAAUGGCCCUGAUAUGAUAUGUACAAUCUCUUCGCAUAGCAUUAUAGGCAUCUUGGUUAUGACAAUCAACUAUCAUCAUCGAUCGAUCACCUUGGUCCAGAAAGCUCAAUAGCUUGUGCCAGUAAUGAGGAGUCAUCGGUGAUGUUGGAGGAGUAACGUGUCGAGAAGGUCUCGGGCACCGUAAGCUUAUGAGCCUCCAUCCUCUGAGAGGCCUCCCAUCUCUCUACGAGACCAUCACCUUCGAGCAUGCUAACCACCUCAGACAUCUUUGGCCUGUGGCCUGGAACGUGCUGCGUGCACAGGAGUGCCACUUGGAUGAUCUCUUCCAGCUCAACCCGGUCGUAGUCGCUCUUCAGAUUCUUGUCAACCAGCAUGUCAAGUUUCUUUUCUUGGUGAAUCUUCCUAACCUGUAAGGAACCACAACUCAUUCAUCUAGAUACUAAAUUCUGAAGAACUUCAUUAUGAAUGAAUUGUAGAGUAUGCGAGCGAAUGAGAAGGAUGUUUUAUGCUUUGAUGCCUCUGGGAUAUGAUAAUGCAAGAAAAAAGGCAUUCAAAUGGUUCGUAUCGUGCAUACCCGAUCGAGCAUGGCACCUUUCUGGUUUGCUGCCUUACCAAAUUCUACGGCUCCCAAACCAGUAAUCAGUUCGAGGAGGAGGAUUCCAAAACCAAAUACAUCUGUUUUCUCAGAGGACUGGCCCGUCGAGAGAUACUCUGGUGCUAUGUGUCCCACGGUUCCCCGCACAGCUGUAGUUACAUGUGAAUCCCUGUGAUCAAGAAGCUUUGCUAGUCCAAAGUCUCCCACGACAGCCUUGCAGUGGUCAUCCAGCAGUAUAUUGGCAGCUUUUACAUCUCUGUGAAUGAUCUUGGGAUCACAUUGCUCAUGCAGAUAAAGAAGGCCCCUUGCAGCUCCCAAAGCUAUCUUUUUUCUGGUACUCCAGUCUAUUGUUGGUUUUGCUGAUCAACAAUGAGGAAGAAGAGAGAUUAAAUGUUUAUGCAAUGUAUAAAGACAACACAAAUCAUCUACAUGGUAGAACAUAAGUAUAAGCAUGUGAAGGCUUUAUAUUUGUCGAUUCUAUUCAGGGCAUCAAAUUUUUCUACCAUGUUGAUGCAUGGUUAUAUCCAAGUGUGCCAUUAUUAACAUUUGUAAAGCAUAAUUCAAAGGAGAGUCGUUUGAUAGUUAGGAAUUGGCAUGAUCUAAACCACAUCUUUCAUAAAAGGACCUAUAAGUACAUCAUGAUAUAGUGCUUAAUGCAUCAGAAUUUCAAGAUUAUCCAAGCAUUUACCUUUGAGUCGGGAAGCAACACUUCCAUUUGACAUGUACGGAUAAACAAGAAGCCUUUCUGUGGCAGUCAUGGAAAGACCAAGUAACCUCAGGACGUUUCUGUGCACUGCUAAGCUGAUCAUUUCAACUUCAGUUUUGAAUUGUUUCUCGCCACCUACAGCAUUUCCAUCCUUGAGCCUUUUGAUGGCGACUAAAGUUCCAUCUUGCAGCGUCCCUCGAUAGACAUUUCCAAAGCCACCAUGGCCUAGUAUGUUUUUGCUGCUGAAGUUAUUUGUUGCUAUCUGAAGCUCCCUGAAGUGAAACCUUCUUAGAUUACCGAGGCAGAGUUCUUCAUGUUGUAAGUCUGGAAAGUUGAUAUGUUGGUCACAAGGAGACACAAAUGACUUCUUCAUUCUUUUUAGGGGAAAGUAACAGUUUGAUUUUAUUUUUGCUCAAAUUAACAUGUAGCAAAUGGAUCAUGUUUUCCGCUAAGAAGAACAUGUUACAAAUUUACUGUUCUCUUGCUUAUCUUCUUACCGUUGACAUCAAAGAAUAUCUGUUGGUCAUGACUUUGCUUCCACCAGAGAAAAAGUCCACAGCCAAGACAAACUAAGCAGAUGCUCCCAAAGGUGGAUCCAAAUGCAAGAAUGACUUUGUAGCUUUUGGGCCUCACCAAAGCUGGAGCACCUUAUGAAAAAGAGAAUUAUGAUGAAGAACCAAAAUUCAAAUCAGUCAAUGUAAAGAAGUACUAACAAGAGCAAUGUUCAGUAGAAAAAAAAAUUGAAAUGGUGAAUAAAAUUCAAAAUUAAUUUAUCAGAGUACCAAAAGGGAGACGAAACAUCACUUACACAUCUCACUUCCUUGUUUUUUUUUUUCCGAAGUAUAAACAUCAUCCAUUGACGUAACAUCAAGAUAGCCACUUCACAUGUCCCAACACUAAAAUACUUGUUUUAGAAGUGAUAACACCGAGCCAUGUACAUAGCAUUCCUGACUGAACAAUAAGAAACUUGUUCCAUGUUCCAAUAACUCACUCAAUUUAUUUUAGGCAGCAAGAUAUCUGUCAUGGACUUCACACAAGCUAAGAAAUUUUGGCUAAUUACUACUGAUAUCUUUGUACGUUAUUGUUUUCCACUUAAGUUGCUUGUUUCAAUAUGGAUGACUUCUAGGUGACUCACAUAUAGUCAAGCCGCUGCAUGACCACGAAAGCAAAUGUACUAAGGAGGCUAAGUAGCUGGAGCAAUCAGAAAAAUCACACCAGUAGCAAGACCUUGGUGACAGUCUUCUAUUUCACACUUUGGUACCAUUCGAUUUAGUAUUCACAGCAUUUUAUAGAAUAAUGUUAACCAAUUUCUGCAUGUUCUCCUAAUGGUUUGAUAAUAAGGUCAAAUUGUUACAAAACUAAAUGAACUAGGAUAACACUCACAUGCACAAAAGGGAAGUAAAAGCGAAUACAGAGGGAAAUAGGUACAUAUGUCAAAAUACAAAUAAACAAAAUGGAGGAUUUUACAUGAGAACGAUCACAUGGGAAUUGAAGCAGAGACCUCUAUCCUACAACAUCAAGUGUCGUGUUGAGAUUUUUGUCAGGCAACUUAUUGUCGUAUAAGCUUAAGCUUUUAGAUAGAAACUACUUUCUCAUCUGAGAAGGAUUGCAAAAUAUUGCCAUAGUCAUGUGGAAUUGUCAUAUAAGCUUAAAUUUUCAGAUAAAAACUAUUUUCUCAUCUGAUAAUGAUUGCAAAAUAUUGCCAUAGUCAUGUGGAAUUUAGCACUCAAGUCAUCAACUAUGCAGUCUUCAUAUUUGCCGAGAAAUAAUACGGAAGAAGAUAGAUAAGUUAUGAACGAUACUUUGUGAAUUGUUCAUGUCGAAGGACAUUGGCAUGGGCAUCAUUCCAAAGCAUUUUUGCUUCAAAGCUGAUGGACAAAUUAAAGGAUUUCCAACAAUGCUGCAGAAACAUAAAAGGAGACAGAUAAGCAUUCCAUAACUCAAGAGAGACUCAAAUAACAAAGGCUUUUUCUAAAAAAAGAAGCAGAAGCAGAAGCAGAACAUGCUAAAUCAGCAGAGAAAAUCAAAAGAUACUUUCAUCUUAGAUAUUAUAUUGCCCAAAUUUUUUGAUAAACAAAGAAGAUGAAAAAAAAAAGGCUAUCAGUGACCAUUGCCAACAUGAACUGUGAAGAAUUUUGAAUCCCACCCUAAAGAAGUUAGUUGAUCAUUCCACCUUUUCUUUCAACACAUAGCACCAACUGGCAGCUUCUUAAUGGGCUGCAUUAGAAUUUGAUGAACAACAGUGAUAUUGAUGGUAAACUAGUUUGUCGAAAUCCUAAAUGGAUAGAAGUUGAAUAUGAAUAGGCUAUUAGCCCAAAAACAGUAGAUAAAGUUCAGGUGCAACAGAAAUUGUCUUACUUGAACGUUUUCGCUGGAAGCUUAGGUAUAGGGCCGCUGAUAUUAUUGUAAGACAAGUCCCUGGAGCACGAAAAGCACAGCAGCCUCUUCAGUGACAAGCAAUCAACCAUAGAAACAUCCUAAUAAGAGCAUGGUAUCUGGAGGCCAACAAACUUACAGAAAAGCAAGUUGUGAAAGAUUGACCAAAGAUGCAGGAAAUGCUCCAGUAAGGCUGUUAUUAUUAAGCCUCCUGUUCUCAACCCAAGCAAGUAAAAUCAAACUAUCAGUUGGUAAUCAAUAGCUCAAACUCAAAGAACUUAACAUGGUUUUUGAUGUUCACAUCCGGCUUACAUGUACUGAAGACCAUUCAGAUUGCCCACCGAGGCAGGGAUUUUGCCGGAGAAGUAGUUGUUGGACAGAUCAACGGUUUGAAGCUUGGAGAGCUUCCCAAUUUCUGGCGGUACCGGUCCCGAUAAGUUAUUGUUCUGCAGGAACCUACACAAACAAUCCUAUAGAGUCAGGGUUCAAUGUGAAAACGAAAACAUAUUUGGGCCACAUCAAUUGAAGUCUCUUAACUUACAGAAUUUGAAGGUUUGUCAAGUUUCCUAUGCUUGGAUUGAGAGUACCAGAGAGAUUCUGGCUUGGAGUUGCCCUGCAACAAAUGUUCACAGGCUAAAAUUUAGAUAUGCCUGUUCCUCUCUACAUCCUCUGAAAGCAGAUAGCUCCUAAAACAAGCAUGCAAAUCCAAGUACCAUUCGCCACUAGGAGGAAAAUAUAGAGGAAGACCAAAGAUGAAAUCACAAGAACUACAAUUGUAGUAAAUAGUGAGCCACCUACAGGCCAAUGACUGAGUUCUCAGGUGAGCAUGUGACCAUAGUCCAGCUGCAUGGAUCAACAGAGUCCUGGUCCCAAUUCUCGAGAACACCAUGAGGAUCCACAAGAUAAGCUUUUAUACCCAUCAAAACUUGCACUGUAACAGGAUUUGCAACAUGAUGAAGAGGACAAUUCAAAUGGGCCAUUCCCAAAAUGAGAACUAAGAGAGAAACAGCGAUGGCACCUUCAAAGUUGACACCUUUGGGGGAGAGUGUAGCAGUUACGAUAGUCCAGAGGAAGAAGAAGGCCGACCAAAAGACCAGAGUGCUGCCCUUCCUUGGUCUCAUCGAGCUCAUUGUGUGCCAGUCUCCAAAUAACAGAUACUCGAGAGCAGGCACGGCAGGUGUUCAGCUUAAGGCUUGCAGCGAUGGCUUGAUGGAGUCAGGUGGUGAAAUCAUUCAUGGGAUUCCUCUUUCACACACCAGGCAGCCUCCUAUUACCAAUCCUCCUCUCUUGAGGCAGGAGACAGUAGACAAGUCUGUAGAAUUUGCUGUCUUGAUGGAAUGAAAAGGAGAGUUUUUUAAGAGUGCAAGGAAGUGGGGAGCGCAGACAUGCUCGCCAGAUGCAGCAAGUUAGAAGUGAGAUGAAGUGGUGGAUUGUUAUUCCGAUGAAAACAAAGAAUGCAAAUAUUUGGUGGGUCACUUGCUUGGGAGGUGUGUCUGGCACAAAUUGAUGACAGAUUAUGGAAUGACAAGAUGUUCAUGUCUUUUGAUGGCAGAGUUGCAGGACUACUUAAAAGCAGAGAGACAGAGAGAGAAGGGAACUUGUUCCCUUCCAGCAAUUACAAGAGGAGGAGGAGGACAGCUAAUGAUGCUCCUCAAAGAAUAACUAUGUUAAAGAUGGCCCUCAAAAGGGUCCAUAUGAUGUACUCUAGUUUCCUAGACUCGCUGAUGCAUCCAACCUAAGCUUGAUUAGAUUCUUCCCAUGAAGAACAUAUGUUUCCUGGUUUUCUCUGCUCGAGUUGUCACGAAUUUGCCAUCAAAAUGGAAUGGAUGAUUCAAUGCAUCCAUCCACAAAGUCAUUACCAUUACCAAUGGCAUAUGAGAAAUGAAGAGAAAACAUUAAAUCUCCGUCGGAGUAAGGAGAGUGUGGGAGGAAGCAAGAAACGGACAAGGUGAAAAGGAAGGCGGAAGGCGGUGGUGGGGAAACUUAGAAUCCAACAUUCCCUGGGUUUGGCUAGCCAUCAUUCCGUUUGAGAAGGGACCAGUGAGGCAUGGUUGGCAUCUGGAGAUGCGUGUGUGGGGGAAGGGGAACAUAUCUUUGUUGCCCCUUCUUCUUCCUUCACUGCAAUGCUAAUUAAUAUUUUGUGUUCUUCAUGCGGGUGUGGUGUGAAGAGUGCUUUUACUGAUUCCCUCCCUCAGCCAUGCCACCCCUGUUUUGUCACCACGAUCACAAUCGAAGCACCGCAGGAGAAGUCGUCGGCAAGAAUGCAGAGUUCGCAGCUGCAGAACCCUCGUCACGGGUGCACCAAAAGCUGCCGUCGUCGGCCGUGAGUGGUGUUCUCGCACGGUGUUUUCAUACGCGUGUGGUUUACGGGCAUGUGAUCUCUUCUAUUCGUAACCCUCACGGGUGCACAUCCGACGCUCCAAAUGCUGCCAACGCACCACGCGGUCGACACCGAGUUUUAUUUUUCUUUAUUAUUCCCCCAUAUUUCAUAAUUACCAAAAAAAAAAUCCCGAAUGUUCGAGAAUGAUCUAAAAAGUCACACAUAAUAGCAGAAAACAAAAUAUAAUUUAAAAAUGUUGGACAACAAUGACAAAAAAAAAACGACAUUAAAGGUUUUAAAGAAUAACACAAGUCCCAAAUUUUCAAGAACGAUGAGAAAUCGUUACAAAAUAUAAUAACAAAAAAAUCCCCUAUGAUAAGAGACUGUACAUUUCGUUAAAAUUUCAUAUUUUCUCUUCAAAGUCAAAUCAAGGAGAGAGAGAAAGAGUAGGAUAGCAAAAGAGAAGUCUUUUAGGUCAAAAAUGCAAAUGAAUUUAUUUUUAAAACCCAUUUUUGAAGCAGGCAUGGAGAUAUUUUUAUUUUGUGUUAUUAUGUUUUUUUCAAAACCCAAAAACAUAAAAACAAGUGUAUUCACAAUUUCAAACUACAAAACAACAUUAAAAAAAAACCUUCAUAAAUUUCAAAGUUUACACCAAAAAAAGAACUACUAGAAUAUCUUGAUGAUGGAAUGUUGUUUCAGAGAAAAGGAAGGAAGAAAAGCAAAUAAAGAAUAAUCCUUAGUCAUUAAAAACACUAGAGGUGGAUGAAAAAGGUAGAGACAAAGUCAGUGGAGGUGGGUAAUAGAACCCAUCAUAGGAUCCAAAUUGGAAGAAUAGGAGCAAUCAUCCAAUGGUUAUCCCUGGGGGUGUCCUUUGUGAGCUAUAUAUUAUAUGUGACAUGUCUCUUCCAUGUGAACAUGCAAUGCAAGUCCAAAAGACAUGAAUUCCUUCUCUCCUAACCCUAGCCACUUGCUCUUGUUUCAAGGAAUAUAUACCCCUAGUCAUAGCAUGACCUCACAAGCAACACAAUAUUAAUUAAGAAAUAGUUAAUUCAAAAGAAGGAUCUUCAUUUACUGCUGACUUGCUGCACAUCUUGCUCAAAAGUUACCACAAGGUUUAAUGGCCAAAGAAGUGUACCUUUGACGACGGCCAUGGCUGGUAUGCAAGCAGGGAAUCCCCUCUUGAACUGUGUCUUCUUGAAGAGUGCAACACAUGCCUGUAAUAGAAGGGUGGAAGUAACUCUAGAGACAACUGAGUUCAAAUGAUCAAAAGCUUGCUCUCCUCCAUGAAUGGAAGGCAGUCCCUAAAAUAUCCAUACACUUCCAUCCAUAUUAGGAAAACACUUUUGUGUGAGAAUAUUUAAGAGAAGACUAAAAAUGUAAUCAUUUUAGUAAAUUUUCAUGACAUAUGUUGAGUUUGUUCUACAAGUUAAAAGUCUCAAAUCUUUGGAUUCCAUUGGUAUCCAAUCCCAUAGAUUUUAGUCCCGACUAGUUUAAUUCGAACUUGUCUAAUUAGAAUUAUUAGCAUGGUAACAGGUGAACAGAAAGUGAGUCAUAAAAGAAAAAAGAGAACACGAAGAGCUAGAUAAAUUCAGUUGACUAAAGUCCACUUACCUGAGUAACCUAGAUGAGUACACUGGUGGGUGGAAAAUAUUGCUGAAUACAGGCAAUCACAUCUGAGUGGAUUCUGUUCAGAUCAUACCUUCACUAGUCUCCACAGAUCAUGUUCAUCAGCUUCAUUCCAUGUUACAGUCAUUGGCCCUUCAACCAGACACUGCCUUUACUGCAAUUUGUUCAAUUAUGCACAGCAACUUUCAUCAGCAUCUUGGCAUGUCAAAGGUGAAGAUUUGUUGCUGGUUGUGUGAAGAUUAUAGGAGUCUGUCAUGGUAGAUAAGAGCUACCUGUGGUUUGCGUUCUCCCCUUGCUUUGACUGGAAAGAACAAAAGUCUAUUAAACAGGAUAAGGAUCAAAUUUUAUCAGAUGUUAAUGUAAUAAGAUGUGUCACCAGAGAAGAUACAAACCUAUCUUAAUUCUGUACAUUUUGAAAUAACCAGAUGUCCCUGAAGCAUUGCUAACUAGGGCAAUGUUGUUGCCUUCAUCAAGUUAAAUGGUAAAAGCCAGAGAAACAUUGUUAAAAAAAAAUAUCUGUAAUACACUAGAGCAUGCAUACAUUAAAAGCAGGAAGCAAUCGACAUCUAAUAACAAGCCAGAAGUUCAUGAAGAACUUCCAAACAAACAGAUGUGUAUAUUUAUGUCUUCAAAAUCAUGGGCAACACAUUGUAGCCACUUCCGUUCAAUGUGGCAGGAUCCAAAACAAAAAGGGUAAGAUUUUGAUGAUUAAGAUCCAUCAUAGGGGUAUUUACCGUGUGAGCCAAAAAAACUGCUCCGUAGGUCAAUUUCAAUUUAUCUAUGUACGGUGUUUCCGUCACAAGGUGCCUCAAUCCAUAUGGUGCUUCUUAUGUUGAUAAAUAGGCAGGUGGAGUCUGCCCAGAUCCAUAUGUUGCUUGUUGUGUUGAACUAUGGAGUGGUGAAGCUGCUGCUGCUCCAUAAGAUGUCGCAUUUGUUAAUCCAUAGGAAGCAGCAGCGUUCCACAUGACUACCUUAGGUGCAUCAUAUCCAGAAGCCACGGAGGCCUCAUAACCAGUGCCUCUAGGUCCAUCAUAGCUGCUACCUCCAGCAGCAUUAUAGGCUGAACUCUUGGAGAACUGAAACUAGAUCCUUUAGAAGCAUCAUAUGCAUGGCCUCUUGGGGCAUCAUGUAGAUCCCGUGCAGCCACAGAUCCAGCUGCAGCUCUACCAUACCAAACUGCACCAACAGAAGGACCAUGCUCCUGCAUUCCAACUAGGAGGUGACCGACAAAGAAAUAGAUAGAACAACGGAAGUGGGAGAGACUACAUUACAGAGAAUAAGAGUAAGAAAAACAAAAUGUACAGUCUGUAAAGCUAGAAUUAAAAUUGAAAUCUAAUGAACAUUGACUAGACAACAUCUCUUCUUUUCAGUCAAAAGGCAACGGCAAAAAGCAAGGUUCCAUAACAGUCACUAACUGAACAAGCAGUGCAGGCAAAAGAGACAGCUAGCCCAAAGAUAAGCUUAUCGAAAACUGACAAUACUUUAUGGAGAAUAGCACAUGUUCAAGCUUUCAUAUUAAAAUAUAGGCACAUAAAUUGGAUAAAAGUUACAACAGAAGCAGAAUCACUUCAAUUGUACCUGAGAAUUUUUAUGAAAUGAUAAAAAAGCUUGCAAUUUCAUGUUGCCAAUUAGCCAGUUUCUCAAAGUAAAACAGAGCAGAUCAAUCAAAAUAACAAUCUUAAACCAUAGAAAUAGUAUAAAAAAAAACAUACAGGAUGAUUGGAUUAGGAAACCAAGCUAGAACAAUGUUUACCUGAGAGACUCCAUAACCAUCUUCAUAAGCAUUUUAUCCUACAGGAUGGUGUCCAAAUGCAUCGUUUUCCUUGUAAGCCCAAGCAUUUGCUCCAAAUUGCCCACCUAACAUAUUAAAUGUCAUAGAAAUAUUCGGGUUGUUCAAUAGAAAAGAUUCUCAAUCUUUUAAACACCAAUUAUCUAGAAGGCAUGAAGAUCAGAAAAUGUGUACUUAAAGGCAACCAUACCACUUCUGACAAGGUUAGUAGAUUUUCUCAAUCAAGCACAUAAUUUUUCUACUUCUCUUACCAUGGAGACAUAGUUCUCCAUUACUUGAAGUGACUCAUAAUGAUCCAUGUGCAGUUUCCUCUCAGAAUCAUAUGUGGCUCUACAAAUUAAAAGAAAUGAAGCUUAUGCAUUUUCAGUAGAUAACAAGUUGAGACGUGCUUGAAUAUAAAACUGAAGAGAGAUUUAUGACCUGCAAUCCUGAUAUUCUUGUCAAUGACCUCAAGUUCCGACAUCAAUGAUGGGAUUUGCUGGACAUUACCAUGGCUCCUCUGCAAAUCCUCAGUCAGCUGUUGUACUCUGGAAAUUAGCUCCCGUCUUGCUACUACCAAGCUCUAAGCUUCUGCAUGAACCUGCUGCAAAUCUACACUAACAGGUUCAGAAGCUUUCAAGUCAGCUUCCAUCUUUGAAAUAUUAUCCAAGAGCAUUCUUAAUUGUUGCUCUUGAUCACUCUAAUGGUACCCAUGUCAGUCUGCAAUCUCCGCAACUCCUGUUGUGCAGCAGAUAAUUCCUUCCUCAAAGAAUAAUGGGUAGCUGCAAAACUUUCGUUCUCUGAUGCAAGUCUUUGCAUUUCCACAUCAUGUGCAGCAAGCUUCUGCUCCAUAAUUUCCGGAGGUGGCAACAUAUCGAAAGGAAAAGCACCAGGCAGGGGAUGAAUGCCUGGACCAAAUGGAUCUGGUUGCAGCAAGCCAGGACCAGGAAGAGGCAGUCGCAGAUGCGGAGGAGGUAUACAGCUUUUGCUUCCCAUGAUGAUUGGCACAAUAUCUCCUUUUACAACAUGAUAAACCUUAUGAAGCAAGGUACAUAAUUCAAUCAACCUAACAUGAAACAUAAAUAAAAUCACACUGCUGUUCCAAACAUAAUGAUCAUAAGUAUAAAAAAAAAUUGAAAAAAAAAAAACAUAUUCACUAAAAGGUUUAUAAAUACUUUACACCCAAUCAUUGGUACAAGUAAAUGUGAGAGCCAUUUAAUGAAGAAGGUAGACCCAAUAUUAGAACAAACGAAAAAAAUUAUGAUCUUUAAGCAUCAUAUGAUAUGCUAUGAAUAUAGUACUCCUUUCCCAAGUAGAACUGAAAAUUUUCAUAUUGUACAUUUUACAAUAUUCAAGUUUUAUUAGCACUGAAAAAUAUUGAUGUUCUAGGAUCAUCUCUACUGAGAAAAGGUUAGAUUGUGCAGAUUUCCCUGAAAAAAAAAAAAAAGAGUAUGAUUGUGACUGGAUUCAUUUAUGAAAAGGUUGUUAAAAUUUGGAUGAUAUCUAAAAAGGCAGCCAAAUGCAAAUGUCUCUUGUCGAUACCGGCUGAAAAGGGUCAAUAUACAUAGACUUACCUCGGCAAGCAGGAUGACUGUUUUUGCUACUCAAACUUUGGCUGUUUAGAUCGCAGAGGAACAACCUCACUCUAACACUAGAGCUCACCCUCGAAUUUGGACAAUAUCUAGUUCCAUAAAUAAAGAAUACAAACGCUUGAGGAAAAAACAAGAUGUUACGAUGUAGUAUUUAUUUGAUGUAAGGAAAAUAAUUAUUAUACCACGAGUGUAGAACAAAUAGCAAGAAAAUUUAUCUGAGUCAUUUUGCCUUUUCAAAUCAUUUAGCACAUUUAGUAUCCAUAACAAUUUAUGCAGAUUCUUUGAUGAAUAAUAUGAAUGAAUAGGUGGAAAAUGGGAUCCAGAUUUAGAUGUGUUAAGCAGCAUAUGAACAGCAAUCCACAAUGACCAUUAGCAUAGAUGCAGUCAAUGUUUGUCCAACUAGGACUUGCACAAGCAAUGGUAAAGAAGAUCUAGUUACAAUUUCAUUUAUUCAGAAUUUGUUUGGUGAAACAUGCAUUUGAACAUGCCAACUAUCUAAUAUCAACCACAGCAACACUUGCUGUCAUGGACCAUCAUGUGGACAACUAAGUUUUGAGCAGCAAAACUUUUGACAGAUUGGUAGAAUCUUGAGAUGAUUCGACCAAAAUUCUAUCCAUUCCGACGGAAAACCAAGUUGAAAAGCUAUAUACCCUCAAAAUUGGGACAAAUUCGCCUGUUUAUGAUGUUUUAAGAUUCCAGGAUUUAAGCCUACGGUUUUAUCGUGAUCUGGAAGCCCAUCAUAGCAGUUGCAACCUAAAGAUGAUGAGAAGGUGGCGGUGGUAGUGGUAGUGGAGCAGAGAAGAAGAGGACGAAAAGGACGAGACCUGGUUUCCAAGACGAUAAAGGGAGGACGGACGUACUUUCUCUCCUCUGCUAUCUAGAUUCUUUUUCCAGAUUUUCUCCAUAUUUCUUCUUGAAUUCAUGUCAGACGACACUCAAUCGAUCAAUAAUUAAGUGUUAACCGGCGCUUGUGUGUUAAUCUACCGAAAUGCUUACGGUAGAUUGCAAACGAUGUUUCUUCGAGAACCGAUAAAUUCACAUCAAUUCUCACACAAAAAGGAGCUUUCGAACAGAUUAGGGCAUAAGCACCACAACAAAGAGUGAUCAUCCAAAUUACAAGGACAUUGGCGUUCGUACAAAAUAAAGCGAACACAAGCAGGAGGGCUGCGUCAACAGAACUCAAACCCCAGCGAUCGAAAUGAUACAAAACAAGCAAGCAAUCGGAGGAAACAAAAGAGCGAAGAAACUUACUAUGAUCCAGAUAUGGAGGCAUUAGGGUUCGUCGGAGAAGGCAGCGAGAGAGAGAGACAGAGAGGAAUAUGGUUCGGGAAAUUAGCGCCUCAGGCGGUCACACCGUGUGAACGUUCACCGGACUCCCACAGCAGAAACUUGGGGCUCAUAUUCGCAGUCCAAUUUCGAGAUUGACGGUGGAGAUGUAGUUGCUGGGAAGGAAGGCGGAGUGGCGGCAGGAAUGGAUAUACGCACCAACGUUUUCCGUGCGUACGAAGUCGCCUCCAAAAUAUUAUUUAAUUCUUUUUAUGUUAUGAAAUUUUAGUGCUGUCGGAGGAAAAUAUAGUUGAUGUCUUCCUUAAUUCGAUAUCAUCUAGACUCAUAUAUAUAUAUAUAUAUAUAUAUAUAUAUAUAUAUAUAGAUAGAAAGACUUCUCGAUAUAAUUCUUCAUGCUCAAGUUAAUAAUCUAAGACUUUCAAAUAUAUAUUCAAAUACUUAAAGAGUCAUUUGGAUUGGGUUUAAGAUAUUUUUUUAUACUUUAUAGAAUUAAAAAAGUUAUGAUUAUCUUUUUCGUCGUAAUAGAUGAGAAAAAACUUAUGAUUACCUUCUUUAUCAUAAUAGAUGAAAAAAAUUAUACUUAUCUUGUUUGAGAAGAAAGCUUAUAUUUGUUAUUUUAAAUAUUCAUCUAAUUAUGUGUUAGUUGAUGAUAAAUUCUUAACCGCAUAUGAUACUUAGAAGAAGAUCACAAAUCAUGAUCAUCAUCAUCAUCAUCAUCAUCAUCAUAUAUAUAUAUAUAUAUAUAUAUAUAUGAUAGGGCAUACUUUGGCCAAUCAUCGGCAACACCAUGCAUUGUCAGCCACCAACGUAACGCCACACACCGUCAAAACCACAGGGUGCACGCCACAUCAAGUUUGGUACCAAUACACUGUGCAACUUAAUCAUCCCGAGAGUUUGGGGCAGUGUUGUCUACUCCUGGGGCAGAGCCAUCUGACGCCACUCAAGCACCCCCAAAUGUGACAUCUCGUGAGAGAGGUGGUCCCGCCCCUAGGGAAGUCAGCGGCCACACCGAUCCGAGGCCGAAAUCAACCUUCGCACGCAGAUAUAAAAACCCCUAGUCGACGCCCGAGCGGGACCACCUCCGAGCGCCAUUUUGUAGGAAGUCGGACACCCCCGAGCGACGAGCGCCUCAAUCCGGGGAUUGCCACCCAGUACAAAGGACGCACUGCCAUUCAUCUCGGAGUCGGAGAGACUCAUCCCACCACAAACGAUGCCCGAGUUAGCAAACUGAGAAACUCGGAUCAACAUCCUCUCACAAGGGUCCAGCCACCUCCGCCAGCCCGAUACUUUUCUGAGUUGCUCCCAAACGGCCACUCCCAACCGGUGGAUGCCUUGACCCAGGAGACACUUCCGUCGCGCAAAGGAGAGCAACGACCCGAUCCAGAUUCCGACCAACGUCAGCCAAUAUUUCUUCCCGAGGGCGCGGCCACCUCAUCAUCCUACCUACCCAACAAGAAGCUCCCGACAUCGACCCGCGUACCUAACCGUGCUGACUCAUCAGCCACGAUACUUUUAUUUUCUAACAAUAUAUAUAUAUAUAUAUAUAUAUAUAUAUAUAUAUAUAUAUNNNNNNNNNNNNNNNNNNNNAUCCUAUCUUGUUCAUCAAUCUCACCAAAUAAAAUACAUACGUACACUAUCUGCAUGCUAUAUGCUUGAUGUGCGAAUGUGCAAAUAGCACUUUGUGGCGUGAGUAAAAGUGGGAAACGACAGAUCUCCUGCUGGGCGUACGCAAGCGCGUACGUCAUACGUACACGUGUACUGAUGCGUCAUGUAAUUAUGAGGGAUACCUACGUUAUACCACAUAACUGUUAACGUUUAUCAUUCCAAUUCAGUGCACAUAACUGUAAACCUUUAUCAUUCCAAUUCGGUGCGGGGUGCUCUCUCUCUCUCUCUCUCUCUCUCUCUCUUCUGUUUCCUUUAAAGGAAAUAGGUAAGCGUGCCUCUCCUCCGAUGUUUACCCUAACCCUCGGACAAGCACUUUUACAUUCCAAAUGAGUUACACCUCCUCCAAACCACUCACCGAAAACGAUCACGACCACGGGAUCUUCCACUCCGGCGGCGUCGGAUUAGCCGGCGACCGCCCCAACCACGUCGUCUCGCCGGAACAGCGUUAUCUUCAAGUGUGUAGAUAAGCGACUGCCUCAACCGCCAUCUGCAUUGUCGGCGACCAUAAACUUUGGUCCAGAGGGAUACUUUCUGCAUUGUCGCAACACCGUUCCGAAUCUAUAGAAAAGUUGUGGGUGGUACUUGACGUUCUAACACAAUGAAACAUACCUUGUGCAUGGAGAUCUCCACCGCCAUCUUCCCGAACAAGUUCGCCGUUCCACAACACCAUUCGUGUUGCUGAUGGCGAAAGGCCUCGAAGGUACUCGGUGGCUCACUUUUUACCUGCACUCAGAGGUCCAGCAGAAAUCAUGAAGCCAAUCAUCUAAUCAACUGCUUCCUCCCAAUGAAUCGCUUUAAUCAUUGGAAGACCAGGAAACCAUAAGAUCGAGAUGCAAGUUUGUAGCAGGUAUCUGAUCGAUUGUUCUGGCCUCAUUUAUUGUUCGACCUUGCAGAGUUAUCAUAUUCCAGCCCUUCCACGAAGCCGAGCCGUGUGAGCAGUCUCUGCAGCUCGAGUUCAUCGAUGCAUCCAUCACAGUUCUGGAAGGUCUCUUUCGCUGCCUCCAGACUCCUCAGACAAGCUCGAGAGCUCGUCGGAGCUGACCUCCCUGAGCGGCUCAUCUUCAGGGCUACAGCGCAGGCCCAUGACGUCCACCGGGCAUCGCCUCUGCCGGUGGUUCGUCGUGGGCCAUCGACAAGCAUGUGCAGAACUCGACGCAGGAGCGGAGGAAGGACGGAUGGAUGUUGGGGAGGACUCGAGGAGUGUCAUGAUGACAUAGCUGAGUAGUGUCCGAAGGAAGAAAGCCGACUGGUCCUGCAAGAGAGAUCAGCUUCUCCAUGAUUAGGAUGAGAACGGGGCAAGUAGUAGACAAGUUGGAUUGUCUCCUUGUGCUGGUUUGCUGAGACAAGGGGAGGGUGAAGGGGAAGUAUUUGUAGGAGGGAGGGGAGGAAGAAUUGUUGUUGGUGAAACGAGGUUAAUGACCGUUUUGCCAUUCACAAGAUCGAUAAUUAUUGUCACGUGUCGUCAAUCGAGCUGACGACGACAAGAAAAUAUAAUCAAUUAUUUUUAUUUUUAAAUAAUUAUAAAAUUUUUAAUAUAAUUUUUAAAAUAUAAAAAAUACGAUACUACGAGAUCUAAAUAUAAAUAUAGAGAGAAAUAUCCGCCAAAAUCCAGUUUACAUGGUCGCAAAAGAAGGUUAGCCUCUCUCUGCCCCCAACAGGGAUUCACGCAGCAGGAAGCUGUAGGGCCUGAGGAGACAUCCGGAGCUCAUUCACUGUGACUGGCUUCGUGAAGCGAGUCAAGUUACUGUGCCCAAAGCCAAAGCCGGAAGACUGUCACCUUUGAUAAAAGAUUCCUUCCGACAUGGACGGGUGAAAGCGGAGUUCUGCCUUUCUCCUCCUCCUCCUUCUUCGCCUUUACUGUUGCGGCUGGAGAAUCGUUGGGUAACGGUGCGAAGAAGGGAGUAGGGUGUCAUGGGAAGGAAGGGGAGCAGCUCUUGGCUGACGGCGGUCAAACGGGCGUUUAUGUCGCCGUCUAAGGACUCCGAGAGGAAGACCUCGGGACAAGGAGAGGAAGAAGAGAAGGUGAGAGUGUUGUGCUUCCUCCCUCGUCUGCUUUCGGUGUUUCUAAUGGGUCACCUUCACCUUUCCUUUCUUUCGUGACUUCGUCUUCUGGUAGCGGAAGAGGGAGAAGAGGAGAUGGAUGUUCCGGAAGCCGUCAACGCUCGAGCAACAGCAGCAGGCGAGGGCGCCGACGGUAGUCACGCCGGAGGAAAGGCACGCUAUUGCCCUUGCCGUGGCCUCCGCAGCGACGGCAGAGGCGGCGGUAGCGACGGCGCAGGCGGCGGCGGAGGUGGUGCGCCUCACCAGGCCUUCUGCGAGCUUCGUCAAGGAGCAUUACGCCGCCGUCGUCAUCCAAACCGCCUUUCGAGGAUACUUGGUACCUCACCUCUUCUUUAGGUUCUUCGUCUUCUUGAGUUCAGGGAUGGUUCUAAAGUGGAUUUGGGUUUCGGGGUGGUGGUGAAGGCGAGGAGGGCACUGCGGGCUUUGAAGGGGCUGGUAAAGCUGCAGGCCUUGGUGAGGGGUCACAACGUCCGGAAGCAAGCGAACAUGACGCUGCGGUGCAUGCAAGCUCUGGUGAGAGCACAGGCGAGGGUGAGAGAACAGCGCAUGCGGCUCGCCCAAGAGUCGGCGGCGGCGGUUUCUCGAGGUAGCAACAUCUCCUCCUUCAGCUGCGACACCUCUUUCUGGGACUCCAAGUACCUCCAGGAGCUCGCGGAGAGAAGAUCCAUGGUAACACAUCCUUCGUCUUCCUCGUUGGUUUCUUCUUUGCUCAUCGUGUGGAUUUGUCCUAUCUUUUUCUUCUCUCUUUAAUGGUGGAACAAACAGUCGAGAGAUGGGAGUAGCUUUGCUGAUGAUUGGGACGACCGCCCGAGAACGAUGGACGAGAUACAAGCGACGUUGCAACGCCGGAAGGAUGCUGCUCUCAGACGAGAGAGGGCGCUCUCCUAUGCCUUCUCUCAUAAAGUGAGCUCCGAACACGCUUAUUUCUCCCCCGCCGCCUGCUUUCCUCUGUGAUGUAUAUACGACUGACAUCAAGUCUCCGGUCUAUCUAUCGGAAAGCUCUUGAGAUCGGAUCGGAGCUCGUCGCGCCUUCUCGACGAAGACGUGGACGGCGAGGUGGCUUCGGCGGGAGAGCAGAGACCGAGCCGGUGGAUGGAUCGCUGGAUCGCCUCAAGGUCCUCUUUUGACAACAGAGCCAGCAGCAGGGCACGAGCCUCCGUUGGCUAUCGGGAUCCCAUCAAGACCUUGGAGAUCGACACCUCUCGACCCUACUCUUACUCCGCCCCCGCCAACCCUCGCCGCCAGACGCCGCCGUCCCCGCAGCCCGUCCCGCUCCACCGCGGUCACCACCACCGACACCAGACCCACUCGCCCACCACGCCCUCGCCCUCCGAGAUGCGACCUUUGCAAGUCCGCUCCGCCAGUCCCCGCUGCGGCCGGCAGGACCACAGGAGCAUCUCCACCGCCCAGACGCCGACCUACCACCCCGCGGCGUCGGUGCCGAACUACAUGGCGGCGACGGAGUCCGCCAAGGCGCGGCUGCGGUCGCAGAGCGCACCGCGACAGCGACCCGGGACGCCGGACCGGGAUCGGGCCAGCUCCGCCAAGAAGCGCCUCUCGUUCCCGGAGCCGGAGAACCUGCGGAGCCCAAGCUUCAAGAGCGCGGCGGCGAGGUUCGCCGGGGAGCCCCGCUCCAACGUGUCCUCGUCCUGCAACGACAGCCUCGUGGGCGAAGCGUCCCCGUCCUCGACGACGGACCUCCGGCGGUGGCUGCGGUGAGGAGGUGGCGCCGGCGGCACAGGGGACUCUGCUUUCUUUUUGGUUUGUUGUGUACGUUUUCUGUGGCUUCGCUUUUGUUUUGGCAGUGGAGUGGGAUUGGGGGACGCGAAAGCUAUCAAUUCAUGUGGUGGCAGGCAAAGGCACGGGUGGGGAAGUCUGCGAGGAGGAAAGCGAAAUGAGACGGGUGUGGUGGGAGUGCAGUGCGGGGUUUGCGUUCUUUUCUGGUGAUGGGAAAUCAUGGGAGCGGGCGGUCACGUCUUGGUUUUUGUGCCAAGGCUGACGGCUUGGGGCUGCGGGAAAGGGAGGGAACUCAUAAGCUUGUUGUAAUGGCGACCGUGAUCUUAUCAGGAACAGUUCCCAUCGUCUUGGCUCGCCCCAUGGUGAGUUGAAUGUCCUGCGCUCCAUGAACAGCUAUAUCAUAUAAAGACACUGAAUACUAUUAAUUAAAAUAAGUAAUUAAUAAAAUGCUAAUAUUUCACGAUGGAGUGCAGUAAAAUCUGCUCAUCCUCGUUGCUAUUCUUCGAUCACUAUCGAUCGAGAGAAACAACGAGGAGGAUAUGACAAGGGGAAGAAGAGUCUUACCUAACUUUGGUAGCAGAUGCAUGACGACGGAUGUGGUGGAUCGGUGACGACUGUGACCACUUUGCCUGGAUGGAAGGAGCACACCAACAGGGAAAUGAAACCGCCACAAGAAGACGAAGGCGUCAAUAUCUUUUAUGCUGCAAGUUUACCUUCACCUUGUAGCUCGAUGUAUGCUGCUGCUUUCUUUCCCCUGUGCUGCUGUUGCCUGACAUUUUACUAAGCAAUGAAGAACCAUCAGAAACAAGUCAAGAUAUUACCUCAUGUCAUAUCUGACAUCUCAGUUCGACUAAAAGAAACUGUACACCAUGCAGUGACAAACACUAGCUUGUGGACUUUGCACUAUUUCCAGCUAUAUGAAUCAUUUGCAUAAAAAUCCCAGCAGUGUGCCUCAAUUCUCUUAUGAUUCCACAUUUUUUGUCUGGAGUGCCAUAUGAAGCAUGAUGAUGACCAUCAGGACCAGAUGAACUGAAGAGGAUAGUGUAGGGAAGUAGAUGUGUUGACAAUUAGCAGCUGAAUAGUCCCACUGCAACUUACACAUGUUCUUUACAUGACCCACAUACCAUCCCAACCCAGUUUCCAUGGAAAUUGCUUCAAGUUGACCUGGUACAACAAAAGUAGGGUUAUACCUUAAAUGACCCAUCCCUACCCAGUUCUGCAAUCCAACCUUAUAUCAACAUUGAUCAUCUUCAGACAAACACACUAAUGUGCAGAGUACAUAUCUUAAUGAAACAUGAGUUCUAAGACUUUCAAGCUCUGAACCAAAGUAUACCUUCAAUUUAAGAUUCCAGGCAAGAUGCAUGUCGACAAAAUAUAUAGAUAAAAGUUUAUUUGUGCAAAAGAUAAGCUAUUAAUGUAUACUUUGCACAUUCCAAAAUGAUCGGUUAUAGCACAAAAUUGACUCAGAAUUAGAGACACUGAUAAAGAUCGGCACUCGGCCUUAUGCAUUCUACAGAUAUUCCAAUGGCUUUAAGAUUUUAUUUUCCAUUUAAUUUGACUUUGAGAUUGCUUCAAUAGGAUAUUCAAUAUCAAAUUUCAAAUGAUUGUUAAAACUUGAUUCUUCCACAAAGCACCGCAACACUUUUUUUUUUUAAUAAUAAUGACAAAGGACAGUGCACACUGUGAAAUAUUACUAAAAGAUGACAUUUAUUCUCCAUGCUGAACAAAAAGAAAUCAACCUUUAGGAGCAAGCAUAAAUAAUGUCAUGACGGCACAGGAUUCAGGCCAGAUAAUCUUCUACUGAUAGCAUAACCAUAACCGGCUUUAUCCGACAGUAAGUAAUUCUUAAGCUACAUUACUUGUCAAAAGGAAUGAGAAAGGAAGUGAUGGCAUUUGCCAAGUAAGCAGAUCCUCCUGAAUGAAGCUUCUGAUAAAAAUGAGAUGAACAGUAAGUUGGAAACAUACAGAAUCGAGUGAUGAUUCUUAUUCCACACAGAUCGACUCGAGCAAUUGUUCAGUGUCUUCACCAACAACCACAUGCUCCAUCUUCAAGCGAUGACGCAUACCAGGGCUCCUCUUCCCAGCAGCUGCGUAUGUCCUUAUAAGUGCCUCAAACACCUCAGCCCCGAGGUCUUUCUCCACCGUCUGCAGAAGCUCGAUGAAUUUCUCAGCACCUGCAACAUCCUUCUUUUGCUCGAAGUAUGCAAUUAAAGUAAUUAUGGUCUCACGGGGUGGGACCCAAAAUCUACCAAGGCUUUUCCCCUUCUUAAUUGCACGAUCGGCACACCAAUGUGCCAUUUUCAGAUCCCCUUUAUUCAUAUAAUAAUCCAUAAAUAUCUCCCAUGUUUUGGCAUUGAGUCUUCCACCAAGCAUUUUCGCAUGUUUCUUAACAGCUUGGGCUUUAUCUAGCAUUCCUUCAUUAGCAUAAGCUUUAAUCAUUGCAUUAGCCACUCGGAUAUCAUAUACUGAGAAGUUGGAUUCCCAUUCCUUAAAACAUGCCUCAGCGCCUGGCAAAUCCUUCAAAUUCACCAGCACCUGAAUCAUAUUCAAAUAGCUCACAUUUGCCAUCUUUGGACGUACCAGCUUUAGAGAUCUCCAUAUCCGGUGCACUUCAACCAGGUUCCCUGUUCGACCAUACAAAGUGAUGAGAAACUGAUAAGCUACAACAUCUUGACCUAGGUUCCUCUUUUCUAAUUCCUUCAGAGCUCCUUCUGCUUUCUGAAACAUGCCAGCAUCUACAUAAAUGGAUGCAAGAUUACUGUAAGUUGUCCAAUCAGCAGCAACUCUCCCAUCUCUUUUCAUCUCUUCCAUGACCCUCUCAACCCCAGAUAUGUCAUUCAUUGCAGCAAGAGAUCUCAUCCAGACAUUGAAAGUAAAGCAAUCUGGCAUGACAUCAUCAGCUUUCAUCUCUUGAAUUAUGCCAGGAACUUUUCCUGGUUGAUUGGUUUUAGCAUAUAGGGUCAUCAAGCUGUUGUAGGCCAUCGGGCUUGACGCAAACUUCAAUUCCUUCAUUUUCUCCAUGAGGCCCUCUGCCUUUUCCGUCAGUAGUUCUUUGCAAUAGCAGUUGAGGAGUGCACCAUAUGUAAGGUGAUUUUUAGCAGACUCUGGUAGAUUGAUGAAGUACUCUUCGGCCGAAGCAAUGCCUCGGGAUUUGGCAACUAGAUCCAGACGGACUGCUUGAUCACUCAGUGUCAAGUUCAUGCCUCUUUUAGCCAUGACCUCGGACAGCUGCAAAAACAUCAAUACCAUGUAAUACUGAUUUUCCAAGAUGAGAAACAACAAACCAAGCUCAAUAAUGACACAUGAUAUUUUAAAGCAUAACAUUGCUUGCAAUGACACGAAAAUCCUUUUUAAUGUUUGGCACCAAAAGACUUGAUCUAAGAGACUUGCUACUCUUACAAGAACAGAAGCAGAAAUAUUGAAAAUGUAAAAGAUAUGUUAAGAGUUUAGAUAUGUUGAUGCCCCUAGUCUUGCAUUUGCUUCCAGUCAUGUUUGAUAAUAGCAUGAACUAGCAUGAUUAUCUUUAUGGAAAAUGAUAUGCCUUUAAGAAAUUGCUUAAUAGUCAUGUUUGAUAACAAAUUAUUUGGUGAAAGAAAUUUGAAAUGGAUUAUAUACUACAGGAAUUUGUUAAAAAUAUAUUCAAGAGAACCUUAUACAUAGAUUGUUACAAGAUCCAAAAUAGGUGGUUUUAUCUGUUGUUUAUUUGCUGUCACCAUUUAUUCUGUUUCAAUCUUCAUCGUUUCAAUUGCAGUGGCCUUUUAACAAAAGCACUUGGAUAAUGUCUACCAAAGCAGUAGUGGUAACAAAUAGGAGAGGUAGACGAAGAAUAAAGUGUUGAAGAGACAGAAGAAUGGUAGAGAUAGCCAGCAUAAAAAACUUGGUUUUUCAGCACAUCAAGCCCACUUCUUCAACAACCAGGCAUUUUGCUACUUGAAAAUUAGGUUUCUUAAAUCAAUGAGCAUUUUAUGAAUAUUAUUUUAUAUAAAACAAAAAGUUUCAAGCAACAAAAAGCCUUAUUUAGAGAGGCAUCUAGAUCUUCCUAAACUUCUUUGAAACCAAAUGGACAUUUAUAAGGGACUCACGUGAUUUUUUUAAGGCAAAAGUAGGACUUUGAGCCAAUCCUAAAAGAAUAACAACUUGCAAUGAAAAUCCUUAACAUAAUAGAAAAACUAAACCAUAUACCCACCCAUAUGACUUAGAUUGACUAUACUCACACUAGUUGUUCAACCCUAAAGCCAACAUAACUCAAUGUAAGUCUAAGCAUUCUCUAGGGCUAGACUACAUCAAUCACUUCUGGAAGACAACAAUUGCCAAAUAUCUUUUGAGUAUCUCUGACUGUUGACAAUAUUAAUGAUGUAGUGAUGCAAUUGACCAUCUAUUUUAUCCAGUUGAUCAUGUGAUUGGAGAAAGAAUGACUCGAUUAAUGAGCCUGUUGCUCCAUACAGUUGGAAGUAGAUUAUAAGAAUUGAUAAAGGACCAUUUUGAAUUUAUUUUUGUUUUGAAUAAACUUUGUUAGUUUAAGGGGUUUCUUGCAAAUGUUAUAAGUUGUCAUAUUGCAACAUCUUCUAUGAUAGCAUAUUAGUUACCAAGAUUGCCUAGAUAAAAAAAGAAAAAGAAAACCAACAACAGAAAAAGAAAUGUGACAUAUUAGGUUGAUUUAAGAUCCCAAGAAAAAAGAGAAAAAUUGGAGAAUUGAAGGCUUAACUGAGAUUAAAUAUAUAUAUAAGGAAGUUUCAUUAUAUCAAAAAUUCAAUAAAUAAAAAAAUUAAAUCAAGUACCUUAUCAAGAAGGAAAAUUAUUUGUCAAAACAAAUUUAUAAUUAUAUCUUCCCUAAAACACAAAAGAAAGAAUGAUUGAUAAGUCUCAAUUAAGAGAGAGAAAUUUUUUCUUCAUGUCCCUUGCUUAUUUUUUAUUUUUUAUCUUGUACUUGGGGGUAUAUAAGAAAAAAGAAUGGAUUGUGAUAUUCGAUCACCAAGAAUGCCUAAAUGAAAGAAAUAUGCUUUUUCCACAUCACAUGUAUGGUUGUGAGGCCAUAUUAUUUCUAUAAUCAUGUAAUUCCACUAUAUGUGUGUGUGUGUACGAGACAGCCAUCCUUAAAGAGUUAAUCCUUGUGUUAGAGUGAGUCUGGUUCUUCCUCAUUUAUUUUAUUUACAUUUCAUCUAACAAAAUUAUAUCUCGUCUUCAGACAUCAGAUUUGAUAACAAAGCUCUUAUCCUAAGGAUACAAAUAAAUUAUGUUCUCACUAAAUGUAAAUUUUUAUCAGUCAAGAAAAAACCUUUUAAAAAUUUUAAUCACGAUUUCAAUUACAACCUUUUGCAUAUAUAUCUUCAACCUUCAUAUCAUCUUCUAAUAAUAGUUUGUCUUCCCAUUCAAGUACUUUAUCAUCACAAGAUUAAUGCACUUGUCCUUUUCUUUUUGGAGUUUGUCGAAUUUGUCUAAUAUUUUAAUUAGACCUAUAGUCAAUUGACGAACUGCCUAAAAAUUGAAACGGCGAAGUCAUAUUCUAAUUAGGGUUUUCAUUCAAAUGUUAUCUGUUGCUCAAAAAUGUUAUAACCAUAUGACAGCCUUAGACACUGGGGUUCGCUUGGAUUCAAACAACGGGUAGAAUGUUACAAUUUUGAAUUUCUACUGUGGAAAUAAAAAGCUAUGACAAAAGGCAAGGAUUUUACAAGAAUAAAAAGGAUUGAAGAUAAGGAGAUAAAGAGCAGAGAUACGAAAAAUAGGCAUAAGAAGUUCUGCAUUCAGUAAUUUCCCACUCUUAUUUCUAUCCAACAAGAUUAUCCACUGCAUAAGCUUUAGUAGUUCCUUUCCGGUCACUCAUCACCACGCACAAAACAAGCACCUAAUCUACGAUAGCUAAGCAGCUUGGGAACAACAAACCACAAUGGAUAAUCUCUCUAAUACAAGCAACUACAUCUGAGGCGAUUUUGAUUUCUACACCCUGCACCAAGUCCAAUCUAAACUGUGGAUUGAUCCAAAAAAACCAAACACUUCACAUAGAUUAACAAGAUCCCCUUUUUUCUUGUCAAUGAAGAACAAGAUCAAGAUCAUGAUGAUGAUCAGCACUUCAUCAGCUGGACGGAAGGAAAGAGCAAGGAGGGAUGCGAUUGGAGGUAAAUGGAGGCGGGUUCACGGUACCUUGAGGGCGGGGUGGAACCUCUUCUGACCGCGGAGCCUGCGGAUGGAGACGUCGACCUCCCAUUUAUAGACGCGCUUGCGGCUCUUGAGGAACAACUCGAGCUGCUGCCGAACGCUCUGCGGUUUGGUGCCCUCCCGGAAGAGCCGCUUGUAGAGCGGCUCCUCCAAGUACUUGCUCGACCGCUUCGCCACCAGCUUCGUCCCCGUCGCCGUAGCCAUUGCGCUCUCUGUCUCGCUCGACGGCGAGGGUUUUUUUUGGCGGCCUCAGUUACCCUCGGGAGGUUUAGGCCGGGCCGAGAACGGCCCGCUUGGUUAAUUUUUUGGGCCCAACAGGGCCGGUUAUACUGAACCAAACCCAACCCAUGUAGAGUUUGGAACUGCGGCCGGCAGAGUCGUUCGAAUCCCAUAUUAUGGAGAUUACUAUGAGCUCAUUUCCAUCAAAGUCACUCCCACUACACUGUUAAGCCCACCACACAACAAAACCACUUGAAAUUGCGAUAUAUACUAAGCCAACCAUCUAUUGCUUCGGCUAACGCGCGUUCCGUUUCCUUCACCGUGCGUCGGCCUUUGGGGUUGUUUCCUCAGAUCGUUCUCGCGAGGAGGUGGGCGAAUCUUCCGAUCUAAUCUCCUUUCCAAGUCCCAAAUUGGUGACGCCAACUGCUCCCAUGCUUCUCAUUUUUGUUAUAACAUCUGUUUUCACUCUGUGAUUUCGUUGCCUUUUGAUCUCCGGCUUUCUAUUUGACGUUGACGAACUACUGCCCUCUCGAUCGGAGUCGCUAUAUCUUUGCAUUUUUGUGUUCGGAACCCUAGAUCGAGUUGAUUCGGAUAUCUGUCAAGUUCUAUUUGAAUUAUGCUUUAGGAUAUUAGGUCUGGGUUGGAUCUGCUGCGAGUUACGGGUGAAAAGGAAGAUCGAUGGGUGGUUAUAUGGAAGCAUUGAUCGACAGUGGAUUGAAAGUAAAGGUGAUCUGAACUUUACAUCUGGUUCUUUGCAGCUUGAAGACCUUGCUUGCCUUGUUGGUGUAAACAUUGCGAUGUCUUCUUGUUAUAUAUACUGAAGUAGGGAUGACGAUAUGUUGUCUUGUCUCGGGAUCCUUUCUUUAUAUUAUUGGGGACGGAAUGAGUGUAGGUUGGUUGUAUCUUCUUUUCUCGUGAUCCCUUAUAAUCACUACUCGGUGAAGCAUUAUAGUUGAGGCACUGGUAUUAGCAUGAAUUAUUAUUACAUGGUCCCAAAAUUAAAUUCCUAAGUGAUUUUUAUGUACAUUAAUAUAAUAUUGAGAAAACAAUGACUUUGUUCAAUGCAUGUCCACGCUUACAGGACGACCACCAAGCACCUUGUGUUUGUAAUAUUCGUUAUCUGAAUGGUGAUAGUGUUUACAUGUAAAAACAUAACGAAAAAUAAGGUGAAUGAGGCUUUCGUGACAGUGUAUUACAGGUUAAGUUGCUAUAUGCAUCGUUGCAUUUUGUUUUGCAUGUGUAUUUGUUUGUUGUAUCUAACCUACAUUUGCAAUGCUUGGUUAUGUCAAUUGGUGCAAACAAUGUAGUAUGCUCAUAUUUUAAUGGGAUUUGGUUUCUUUGUAUGAUGUGAUUGAGGAAAUACUGAGACUAGGUUGUUGAGGUUUAAUGGUAUCGGGUGAAGCAUCUCCUUUUCUACCUAAUGAAAAUGUAGCGUAAAAUUCAGACACUUGUACAAGCUAUUGGUAGUUUGUCUGUAUUAUAAUACUAAUUUGCUGUGAUCACAUGCUUAUUAUUUUCAGUGUUUUGUUCCAAAUCAUUUGCUUGUCUUUCUUGUAGAUAGCUUUCAACUUGUUUCUCUCCAAAAUGAGGCCCAUUUUCUGUGGGAACUUUGAGUAUGAUGCUCGCCAGUCAGAAUUGGAACGUCUUUUUGGCAGAUACUGGAAGGUUGACAGGGUAGAUAUGAAAUCAGGUAAGUCUAUCCCUUUUUGAGAGAUAAUGCUACAACUCUCAUUGAGCAAUUUACUAAUUGUUGUCAGUGUUUAUCUAUGUACUGAGAUAAUGCUAAUUUAUCUGGUAAUGUUGUUUUAACUGAAUGACUUGCCUUGGAACAUUUCCCUAGGAAUCGGUUUCUUGGAACUAUGAACAUAAUUCUUGGUGAUUUGUCAUCACAUAAGCAAACCCAGUGAUUAUCUUCUUCAGUGUUGCUCUUUUAUGAACAUACUGCUAUUUACUUGCUGGGCUUUUUAAGGCUGCUUCGAUCUGCAGUGUGGUGGACAAAAACUUGUUUCGUUCUUAGUUGUUUCUGGUUUUUUUCUUACCCUUUUCACGUCAAGUAUGGAAAGUUAACCAUUUAAACUCGAAAUUUCUUAGUAAGCAAUCGUUAGUCAAGUUAGCAAAUGAGAACCUAUGUUCCCAUUAGCAAUUGGAACAUCUACCCUUUUCACUGCAUCAGGACCCUAUGUUCCUGUAUUGCAACAGUUCCAGGAUAGUAGCUCGCCAUUGAAUCCUUUUGUUCAGCUUUGCUGGGGAAUCAGAAUGCAGGAUAAGUUUAGUGAAUGGAAAUAUUUUAUUUUAAGGUAAUCCCUUUGAAACAAUUUCUUUGGUGCGGGAAUAUCUUGGAACACCUAGUUUCUUCCUGGCUGAUGGUAUGGCAUCACCUUUCCUGCCUGAGCCCGAGCCUGAGCCUCAUCUCCUUGUGUAGUUCCAGGAGCUGCUAUGAUCCACCAUACUUUGUGGCACUGUUCACCUGAAAACAUUUCCCCAUGAGACCAUUGCCUUCUGAAUCCUAUGAAUUUUGCCCAUUUUCUCAACCUGCUCGUGUUCUCCAUCCCAUUCUUACUGCCAGGCUGGAGAAUAGAUGGAGAAGGCAAUCUGUUCAAUGGCCUACCACAUCAGACCUUCUUAUGCCUUUUUAUAGCGUCACAUCAUUUAGUUCUACUUCUACAUGAGGUCUGUUCCUGAUUUUUCUUGUUUGUCGAUCUCUUUGUAGCUUUGACAGAAAUGGGUUUAUGUUUCCAAAUAGUUUGUGGAGAUUAACUGGGCCCACUAGACUCUGCUGUCAUCAAGGAUUCUAUAAAACUAAAGCGUUAGUAGCUAAAUGGUUCUUUGUGCUUAGAUUAAUUUGCUUUUCUAAUUUAAUAUCUGCAGGAUUUGCAUUUAUUUACAUGGAUGAUGAACGAGAUGCAGGGGAUGCAAUCCAGGCCCUUGACAGGACUGAGUUUGGCAGACACGGGCAAUGGCUUCACGUUGAAUGGACGAAGGUACACAACUCAGUAAAUUGCAUAUUUUUGGUUUCGUAUUCUGUUUAAUGUUUUCUAGAUUGGUGACACAGCAAGAGCUUGUGGUGGUAGGACGAUCUGGCAGUUCAAGAAGGUCUCUUGCUAAUAUGACGCAUACAAAGACACUGUUUGUCAUAAACUUUGAGCCAAUCGAUACCAGGAUGAGACUUGGAGAAGCACUUUGGACCAUAUGGAAAGGGCUUAAAUAUUAGGUUAGAAGAUAUUUUGUCUUUAAUUACUUUGAGGCACAAGAGGAUGCCACAAAAGCUCUGGAAGCAACCAACAUGAGGUGCUUCCUUCUCCCCCAAUUUCAGUAUAUAGUACCAGUAGUAGUGUAUCUUUCCAUAACUGUAAGUGUUUCGAGGCUAUCUGCUUCCAGGAUUAAUUUCAUCAUGAUGUAUAUGAAUUUCUUCAUGAAAUCUGCUUGCCUAUUCUUUUUUUAUUGUAUGAAAGAUGAUUUAGCAUUUAAUGGGAGUAUCGGUAUCAAUAGCGUCUGAUUAUUUUGAUUAACUUUCAUUUAUAUCUUGAGAAAUUACUAUGUAGUUGUCAGUAGGACAAUACCUUCUAUUAUUCUUUUUAUUAUAUCUUUCGCUCUCCCUUGGUCAUCUGUUCUGUUAUUACCAUGUGGAAGUAUGAAAAAUUUUGUUAAAUCUUUCCAUGUUUCCACUUUUAGUGCAUGGAAAGAUACAAUAAUUCUGCUGGGCAUUCUGUAGUUUUUUAAACACUGGUUAAGAAAAGGACUAGUUAUUGGUUAAUGCAAGUUGGUAAAAUUGG